rnacentral:rRNA from 1 species
UACGUAGGUGACAAGCGUUGUCCGGAUUUACUGGGCGUAAAGCGUGCGCAGGCGGUUUUGUAAGUCUGUCGUGAAAGCCCCGGGCUCAACCUGGGAAUUGCGAUGGAGACUGCAAGGCUUGAAUCUGGCAGAGGGGGGUAGAAUUCCACGUGUAGCAGUGAAAUGCGUAGAGAUGUGGAGGAACACCGAUGGCGAAGGCAGCCCCCUGGGUCAAAACUGACGCUCAUGCACGAAAGCGUGGGGAGCAAACAGG